GAUGAACGCUGGCGGCGUGCCUAAUACAUGCAAGUCGAGCGAACAGAUGAGGAGCUUGCUCCUCUGACGUUAGCGGCGGACGGGUGAGUAACACGUGGAUAACCUACCUAUAAGACUGGGAUAACUUCGGGAAACCGGAGCUAAUACCGGAUAAUAUAUUGAACCGCAUGGUUCAAUAGUGAAAGACGGUUUUGCUGUCACUUAUAGAUGGAUCCGCGCCGCAUUAGCUAGUUGGUAAGGUAACGGCUUACCAAGGCAACGAUGCGUAGCCGACCUGAGAGGGUGAUCGGCCACACUGGAACGGAGACACGGUCCAGACUCCUACGGGAGGCAGCAGUAGGGAAUCUUCCGCAAUGGGCGAAAGCCUUACGGAGCAACGCCGCGUGAGUGAUGAAGGUCUUCGGAUCGUAAAACUCUGUUAUUAGGGAAGAACAAAUGUGUAAGUAACUAUGCACGUCUUGACGGUACCUAAUCAGAAAGCCACGGCUAACUACGUG
rnacentral:rRNA from 1 species